rnacentral:rRNA from 1 species
GAACGCGAAGAACCUUACCAGGUCUUGACAUCCAAAGAACCUUUACGAAAGUAAGGGGUGCCUUCGGGAGCUUUGAGACAGGUGGUGCAUGGUUGUCGUCAGCUCGUGUCGUGAGAUGUUGGGUUAAGUCCCGCAACGAGCGCAACCCUUGCUAUUAGUUGCUAACAUUUCGGAUGAGCACUCUAAUGGGACUGCCCGUGACAAGCGGGAGGAAGGUGGGGAUGACGUCAAAUCAUCAUGCCCUUUAUGAUCUGGGCUACACACGUGCUACAAUGGAUGGUACAGAGAGCAGCGAGGCCGCGAGGUGGAGCGAAUCUCAAAAAGCCAUUCUCAGUUCGGAUUGGAGUCUGCAACUCGACUCCAUGAAGCCGGAAUCGCUAGUAAUCGCGAAUCAGAACGUCGCGGUGAAUGCGUUCCCGGGCCUUGUACACACCG